UCAAUCAUUUCGUCUUUAGGC
ensembl:piRNA 21ur-1219 ncRNA